AUUUAAUUUAUUAUUAUUAAAUUAUAAUUUAUUUUUAAUAAAAAUAUUUUUAUAUAAAAUUAAAAUUAAGUAUAUUUAAGAAAAAUUUUAUAAUUAUUAUAGAUAAUUAGUAUUGUGAAAGAAUUAAUUUAAAUUUUAAAAAGUAAAUUUAAUUUGUUGUACCUUUUGUAUCAGGGUUUAUUUAAAAUAGUUUUGUAUUAAUAUUUCUCGAAUUUAAAAGGGUUAAUCUUAUAAUGAUUUAUUGUAAAAUAAAUACAUUUAAUAUAAUAUUAGUAGUGAAAAGUUAUUCGUUUUUAAUUAUAUCUAGUUUUUUUAGAAUUAAAUUUAAUUUAGUUAAUUUUUAUAUUAUGUUAUGUUUAUUUAUACAUAUAUUAAUUAUUUAUUAAUAAAGAUUUAAGGGUUAAGCUUUUUAUUUUUUUUAAAUAUUUAGUAAAAUUUUUAUAAAUAUAUAAAUAAAAUUUUUAAUUUGUUUAAGUUUUUUAUAAUAUAUUAUUUAAUUUAAUAUGAAUAUUUAUCUGAUUUUAUAAAAAUAUUAAUUUAUAUAUAAAAAAAAAUUUUUUAUUUUUAAAAAAUUUAUUAAAAUGAUAAAAUUAGUAUAUAUUUAAAAUAAAUUUUAUUUUUAAAUUUAUUAUAAUUUAAGAUAAGGAAUUCAGCAAUUUAAUAUUCGCCUGUUUAUCAAAAACAUGGUUUUUUGAAAAUAAUUUAAAAUUUAAUCUGCCCACUGAAAUUUUAAAUGGCCGCAGUAUUUUGACUGUGCAAAGGUAGCAUAAUCAUUUGUUUCUUAAUUAGGGACUAGUAUGAAGGAUUGGACGAGAUAUUUACUGUCUCAUUUUAAUAUUAAUAUAAAAUUUUAUUUUUUAGUUAAAAAGCUAAAAUUUAUUAAAAAGACGAGAAGACCCUAUAGAGUUUUAUUAAAGUUUUUAUAGUAUUUUAUAAGUUUAUAUUAAUAUUAUUAUUUUUUUUUAAUUUUAUUGGGGUGAUAGAAAAAUUUAUUAAACUUUUUAUAUAAAUAUUCAUUAAUAAAUGUAAUAAUUAAAAUUUUGAUCUUAAGAUUUAAAUUAAAAGAUUAAAUUACCUUAGGGAUAACAGCGUUAUUAUUUUGGAGAGUUCUAAUCAAUAAAAUAGUUUGCGACCUCGAUGUUGAAUUAAGAAAAAUAUUUGGUGAAAAAGUUAAAUGAUUAGGUCUGUUCGACCUUUAAAUUCUUACAUGAUUUGAGUUCAAAUCGGCGUGAGCCAGAUUGGUUUCUAUCUUUUAGAAUAUUAUAUAUUUUAGUACGAAAGGACCAAAUAUAUUAAUUAAAUUUUUAUUGUG
rnacentral:rRNA from 1 species